CGGCGGACGGGUGAGUAACACGUGGGUAACCUACCUAUAAGACUGGGACAACUUCGGGAAACCGGAGCUAAUACCGGAUAAUAUGUUGAACCGCAUGGUUCAAUAGUGAAAGAUGGUUUUGCUAUCACUUAUAGAUGGACCCGCGCCGUAUCAGCUAGUUGGUGAGGUAACGGCUUACCAAGGCAACGAUACGUAGCCGACCUGAGAGGGUGAUCGGCCACACUGGAACUGAGACACGGUCCAG
rnacentral:rRNA from 1 species